rnacentral:rRNA from 1 species
UGUUAGGUCAAGGUGCAGUUUUUAAAAGUUAUAAUGGGUUACAAAUUUUACUAUGAAUGAAUUAUUAAUUUGUGUGUAAUUAUGAAAUCGGAUUUGAAAGUAAAUAGUUUAUUUUAAGUAAUAAAUGAAUUUAGAUUCUAAAAUAUGUACACAUUGCCCGUCACUCUUGCAUAAAGUAAGACAAGUCGUAACAUAGUAGGUGUACCGGAAGGUGUACCUGGAAUUGGAAGUAAAUAGCUAAAUAAGUAUAUUUUUUACACUAAUAUGAUAUCAAUAAGAUUUUACUUAUAUUUUAAUUUUUUGAGUUAUAAAUGUUAAAUAUUAAAUUAAUUUCGUCUGUGAGGGGAAUUGUAUUUAAAAUAUAAUAUAAUGUGUAAUUACAGUACCUUU